rnacentral:rRNA from 1 species
AAUUUUGGACAAUGGGGGAAACCCUGAUCCAGCCAUCCCGCGUGUAUGAUGAAGGCCUUCGGGUUGUAAAGCACUUUAAGUUGGGAGGAAGGGCAGUAAGUUAAUACCUUGCUGUUUUGACGUUACCGACAGAAUAAGCACCGGCUAACUUCGUGCCAGCAGCCGCGGUAAUACGAAGGGUGCAAGCGUUAAUCGGAAUUACUGGGCGUAAAGCGCGCGUAGGUGGUUUGUUAAGUUGGAAGUGAAAGCCCCGGGCUCAACCUGGGAACUGCUUUCAAAACUGGCAAGCUAGAGUAUGGCAGAGGGUGGUGGAAUUUCCUGUGUAGCGGUGAAAUGCGUAGAUAUAGGGAGGAACACCAGUGGCGAAGGCGACUACCUGGACGAAAACUGACGCUGAUGCACGAAAGCUAGGGGAGCAAACAG